UCUUAGGCUUGCUGGGUGAGAAAGUGCCGCGCGGCAUUCUGGGAGUUGUAGUUUCGCGGUGGGGGCGUGCCGCAGGGCAUGCCGGGAGCUGUAGUUCCGUGCCUGGCGAGGCGCCAUUUCCCGCCGCAGCCGGUCCGGCGAAGCUUGCGGCGCCCUCGGGGCUAGGCCGUGGCGCGCGCGGGGAAGCCGGGAGGGUGGCGGGCCUCUCUGCCGCCCCUCACCGCAGCUGGGGCCGGCGGCGGAACGCCGCCCUCGCAGGCCGUUUCUCUGAGCUAGGGGUGAGGCGAGGGCCUCGAGGCUGUGUGGGGAAGGCACCAGGACCAGAGUCCUGUCGCACUCAGCAGGUGUUGGAGCCACCAUCGAACCAGCGGAGCCUGACCAUAAAGGAAUUCUUUUGUGUCAGUAUUUCAGUUUUGCACGAAAGACUAAUCCUGUAUGUAUUUGGCACAGUGUUGAAAGAACUUUUUCCUGGCUUUAUGAUUUUGUUAAACCCAUUAACAAUCAGCAUUUUCCCAUCCUACACACUCUUGCAAAUGUUUCCAUUAAAUAUAUUUCCAAUAUUAAUAAAAUAACAAACUCUUUAUUAUCCUUCUGCUUAUAACUUGAUGUCUUAACAUCAAAAUAAUCUUUUUUUCUAAUAAAAUUAUACAUAGUAUUUAACUAUAUGAAACA
rnacentral:lncRNA from 1 species